UGGGGAAUUUUGGACAAUGGGCGAAAGCCUGAUCCAGCAAUGCCGCGUGUGUGAAGAAUGCCUUCGGGUUGUAAAGCACUUUUGUCCGGAAAGAAAUCCUUGGCUCUAAUACAGUCGGGGGAUGACGGUACCGGAAGAAUAAGCACCGGCUAACUACGUGCCAGCAGCCGCGGUAAUACGUAGGGUGCAAGCGUUAAUCGGAAUUACUGGGCGUAAAGCGUGCGCAGGCGGUUUGCUAAGACCGAUGUGAAAUCCCCGGGCUCAACCUGGGAACUGCAUUGGUGACUGGCAGGCUAGAGUAUGGCAGAGGGGGGUAGAAUUCCACGUGUAGCAGUGAAACGCGUAGAGAUGUGGAGGAAUACCGAUGGCGAAGGCAGCCCCCUGGGCCAAUACUGACGCUCAUGCGCGAAAGCGUGGGGAGCAAACAGGAUUAGAUACCCUGGUAGUCCACGCCCUAAACGAUGUCAACUAGUUGUUGGGGGAUUCAUUUUCCUUAGUAACGUAGCUAACGCGUGAAGUUGACCGCCUGGGGAGUACGGUCGCAAGAUUAAAACUUAAAUGAAUUG
rnacentral:rRNA from 1 species